rnacentral:rRNA from 1 species
CAGUCGCCACGGGAAUACGGAGGGUGCAAGCGUUAUCCGGAUUUAUUGGGUUUAAAGGGUCCGUAGGCGGACUUAUAAGUCAGUGGUGAAAGCCUGUCGCUUAACGAUAGAACUGCCAUUGAUACUGUAAGUCUUGAGUAUAUUUGAGGUAGCUGGAAUAAGUAGUGUAGCGGUGAAAUGCAUAGAUAUUACUUAGAACACCAAUUGCGAAGGCAGGUUACCAAGAUAUAACUGACGCUGAGGGACGAAAGCGUGGGUAGCGAACAGGAUUAGAUACCCCAGUAGUCCCUGUCUCUUAUAA